rnacentral:rRNA from 1 species
CCUACGGGAGGCUGCAGUGGGGAAUAUUGGACAAUGGGGACAACCCUGAUCCAGCCAUGCCGCGUGUGUGAAGAAGGCCCUCGGGUUGUAAAGCACUUUCAGUGAGGAAGAACGCCUGGUGGUUAAUACCCAUCAGGAAAGACAUCACUCACAGAAGAAGCACCGGCUAACUCCGUGCCAGUAGCCGCGGUAAUACGGAGGGUGCGAGCGUUAAUCGGAAUUACUGGGCGUAAAGCGCGCGUAGGUGGCUUGAUAAGCCGGUUGUGAAAGCCCCGGGCUCAACCUGGGAACGGCAUCCGGAACUGUCAAGCUAGAGUGCAGGAGAGGAAGGUAGAAUUCCCGGUGUAGCGGUGAAAUGCGUAGAGAUCGGGAGGAAUACCAGUGGCGAAGGCGGCCUUCUGGACUGACACUGACACUGAGGUGCGAAAGCGUGGGUAGCAAACAGGAUUAGAUACCCCGGUAGUC